GACGAACGCUGGCGGCGUGCUUAACACAUGCAAGUCGAACGGAAAGGCCCUGCUUUUGUGGGGUGCUCGAGUGGCGAACGGGUGAGUAACACGUGAGUAACCUGCCCUUGACUUUGGGAUAACUUCAGGAAACUGGGGCUAAUACCGGAUAGGAGCUCCUGCUGCAUGGUGGGGGUUGGAAAGUUUCGGCGGUUGGGGAUGGACUCGCGGCUUAUCAGCUUGUUGGUGGGGUAGUGGCUUACCAAGGCUUUGACGGGUAGCCGGCCUGAGAGGGUGACCGGCCACAUUGGGACUGAGAUACGGCCCAGACUCCUACGGGAGGCAGCAGUGGGGACUAUUGCACAAUGGGCGGAAGCCUGAUGCAGCAACGCCGCGUGCGGGAUGACGGCCUUCGAGUUGUAAACCGCUUUCGCCUGUGACGAAGCGUGAGUGACGGUAAUGGGUAAAGAAGCACCGGCUAACUACGUG
rnacentral:rRNA from 1 species